rnacentral:rRNA from 1 species
ACGGGAGGCAGCAGUGAGGAAUAUUGGUCAAUGGGCGGAAGCCUGAACCAGCCAAGUCGCGUGAAGGAUGAAGGUAUUAUGUAUUGUAAACUUCUUUAGACGUAGAGAAAUAAGCGGGACGCGUCCCGCGAUGCUAGUAUACGUAGAAUAAGGAUCGGCUAACUCCGUGCCAGCAGCCGCGGUAAUACGGAGGAUCCGAGCGUUAUCCGGAUUUAUUGGGUUUAAAGGGUGCGCAGGCGGUCUUUUAAGUCAGUGGUUAAAUCGUGGAGCUCAACUCCAUCCCGCCAUUGAUACUGGAGGACUUGAUUGCGGUCGAGGUUGGCGGAAUUCGCCGUGUAGCGGUGAAAUGCAUAGAUAUGGCGAAGAACUCCGAUUGCGUAGGCAGCUGACCAGGCCGUAAAUGACGCUCAUGCACGAAAGUGCGGGGAUCGAACAGGAUUAGAUACCCUGGUA